GACGAACGCUGGCGGCGUGCUUAACACAUGCAAGUCGAACGGAAAGGCCCUGCUUUUUUGGGGUGCUCGAGUGGCGAACGGGUGAGUAACACGUGAGUAACCUGCCCUUGACUUUGGGAUAACUUCAUGAAACUGGGGCUAAUACCGGAUAGGAGCUCCUGCUGCAUUGUGGGGGUUGGAAAGUUUCGGCGGUUGGGGAUGGACUCGCGGCUUAUCAGCUUGUUGGUGGGGUAGUGGCUUACCAAGUCUGUGACGGGUAGCCGGCCUGAGAGGGUGACCGGCCACAUUGGGACUGAGAUACGGCCCAGACUCCUACGGGAGGCAGCAGUGGGGAAUAUUGCACAAUGGGCGGAAGCCUGAUGCAGCAACGCCGCGUGCGGGAUGACGGCCUUCGGGUUGUAAACCGCUUUCGCCUGUGACGAAGCGUGAGUGACGGUAAUGGGUAAAGAAGCACCGGCUAACUACGUG
rnacentral:rRNA from 1 species